GUCUUGACUUUAAACCUGUAAAACCUCAGCAUCCCCUCCAGCAACCAGGAGGGCGGAGUCUGGACACGCGGAGGAGGAGGAGUUCCGGAGCAGCGCAAGGAGCCGCUUUUCCUCAGCAAUCUUCUGGUUUAUGAGCUGGCCGGCUCUGAAGCCUGGACAGGAAGGGUAAGCAAUUUGCUCAAGAUCACGCAUCUAAUAAUUGAAGAGCUUUGUCAGUGACCAGACAGUCUGUUGCCAUGGAAAUCGUUCUGUCACCUUGCAAAUGGAGUCUUCCUUCCAGAAGUACGGAACAACCAAGCAUGUCUGCAUGGCUGGGAACUGAACUUGGUAAAGCAUUGUCCAUCUCUUCUGUAUAGAGCAUACCAUGCUAAUCUCUCAUUUUGAGCCUUUUGACCUCAUGAUCAAGGAUUUCAUUACAUUAAUAAAGAUAUUUUA